ACUGGAAAAGUUGCCACAGCGUCUUUACAUCGUCUUUGUCAGAAGUGAGGUUAGUUUCUAUGUUUGUAAAUGAAUCUGGGGGCAUCGUUUGUGCAAAGUGUGAAACCUCCCCCCACUCAAGUGCUUCCAUUACCAGAGGCGCGACUACUGGAUGCUCUAUGUACCCAUCCACAUUUAGAAGAGAUAGUCAUGAAGAUUCAAAAUGACUCUUGAAGAAUUCGCACGCCUGAAGAGUGGUGCACUAAGCUACUAAGAGCCCUUCGAAGAAGAACAAGAAGAAGAAUCAGAAGAAGAAGAAGUAGAAGAACAUGAAAAAAAGAGGUUCACAGGAAGAAGUACAAAAUUCAGCAAGAUGGCACAUAGCUUGAAUGUUAAAGGCUACUCGCAACUCCUAGUUACGGCUCAAAUUGCAGCCAGAUUGUAUAAAGUUGUUAUUGUGACAUGUCUAACUUCUCAGUCACUGUGAUUUAUAAUAGAUACACAAUUUCUUGCCCACCGCCAAUAAAUAUUUAAUUGGUAGCUGAAUCUAACUGUUCAUGUAUAUCACUAACAAAUACCAAGAGACUAAGUGUGUUAUCUCUGUGUAUUUAUUUUAAAUUUUUUGUACUCUCUGUGGAUUCAUUUUUAAGUGCUCUUACUACAUCUCCGAAUAGUGGCAGUGAGGAUUUUCCUCGGUCGAAUGACCAUACG